rnacentral:rRNA from 1 species
AUUAGAUUAAAAACCAAUGCCCUUCGGGGCUCUCUGGUGAUUCAUGAUAACUUCUCGAAUCGCAUGGCCUUGCGCCGGCGAUGGUUCAUUCAAAUUUCUUCCCUAUCAACUUUCGAUGUUUGGGUAUUGGCCAAACAUGGUUGCAACGGGUAACGGAGGGUUAGGGCUCGACCCCGGAGAAGGAGCCUGAGAAACGGCUACUACAUCCAAGGAAGGCAGCAGGCGCGCAAAUUACCCAAUCCCGACUCGGGGAGGUAGUGACAAUAAAUACUGAUACAGGGUUCUUUCGGAUCUUGUAAUUGGGAUGAGUACAAUUUAAAUCCCUUAACGAGGAACAAUUGGAGGGCAAGUCUGGUGCCAGCAGCCGCGGUAAUUCCAGCUCCGAUAGCGUAUAUGAAAGUUGUUGUGGUCAAAAAGCUCGUAGUUGAACCUUGGGCCUGGCUGGCCGGUCCGCCUCACCGCGUGUACUGGUCCGGCCGGGCCUUUCCCUCUGUGGAACCCUAUGCCCUUCACUGGG